UGUGUUUGUUGUGUUGGAAGGGAAGGAAGGGGACAGUCGGUUCUUUCUUUGCUUUCGUUCGUCGUUCAGAAGAAGAGAAAGAGCAAGCAGAGACAGAAGCGGUCGAUGAUGUUGUAGUUUUUCUCUUUUUUUUCUCCCUUUUGUUUUUCUGGAUGACAAAAGAAAAAGAAAAAGGU
rnacentral:ribozyme from 14 species